UUUUAACUUGCACCCAUGUGUGUGUAUAUAAAUAUAUAUAUAUACAAUAAGGAUCUUAGGCUCACCCCAAAAAAGCUCAUCCCAACUCACCUAUAAAAAUUCGUUUCUUUUUUUCUCUCUCCUCACAUUUACACGAACUUGGGCUCCUCACGCGAACUUCAGUCAUUUCCUUUUGAAAUCUAUCUCGCUCACCCCAAGCUCUUCUCUUUCGCUCUUCCGAUCUUCACCUUCUCACGAUCUACUCACUCCAAGAUCUCCUCUCUCGCUCUCCCGAUCUCUGUUUCCCUCGCUUCUCACGAUAUUAGGCGUUCACUUGCCCCAAAUCUCAAAACCAUAGAUUGCCCUAAUUUUUGCCCCAAAUCCGUCGCGACGGCUUGCCCUAAUUUUCGCCCCUCAAAAGCAGAGUAAGCAAGUUCGUCUUCUAUCUCUCUUUCAAUUAUCGAUCCCAUGCAUCCUAACUGUAUUACAUAGAUCGAUUUAUUCAUGUUAUAUUCUAUGUUUGUUGUUUUCUUAAUUUUGAGUUUUGAAUUGAACACUUCAUAAAUAUGAUUUGAUUUGAUUUUUUUUAUAAGUAAAUCUGACUUUAUUUUCCUCGAGAGUAUAUGGCAACAAAAAUUUUGUUAAUUGCUAUUUGAAAAUAUUUUUUAAUGACGCGUCUCUUAUUUUUGGUCAAUCUGAAUCUAUUCCUUGGUUCCAAUUUGGCUUUCAUUAAUUUUUUUUGGGAACAUGAACAUAGGUAUGUAUAGAAGGAAUCUCUUAUUUUCAUUAAUCCAAUUUGGCUUUCCGAUUAAUCUCUUAUUUUCAUUAAUUUUUUUUUUUUGCUAAGCCAUCAUUACUAUUUGUAUGAUAGAAGGAAUUCCUAGAAUUAUUGAUAAUUAGAAUUGCAAACUUUAUCCAGUAGUGACACUACUUGAUAUUCUUAGUAAGUGAGCUAGUGUUUUUUGGGAUUUAUGAAUAUCCUUACACAAGAACAAUUUGUGGGCUCGAGUUUCAAUGGAGUUUAAACCUGACUAGCACUUGGCUUAGCAAGGAUUAAUGGAGUAAAUGAGUUCACAAGGAAGUUAGGCUAACAAAUGUACUAACAGUAUGCUAAUACUUGGUUAAAACUAAAACUGAGCAGUGGGAAAAUUUGUAAACAAGUUAGAUGAUUUGUGAUGAGUAACUAUGAUGAAAUUAGGCUAAAACAAUGAAAAACUUGCACACCCAUUAAGAAAAAUAUGCAGAAAAUAGACAUUUAUGCCAAAACAAUAUUUUUUUUGAAAUUUUAAACUAAGAGAAAAGGCUAAUUAAGUGUUGUAAAUGCUUGGGCUAUGUGAUUUAUACUUAAACGAGUCAUGGGUUACAGAACUAUACCUUAAAUAAUCACAGGAAGUGAUUAUAAUUCUCAGUUGAAGAUGUUUUCACAAAAAUAGAGCAUCGACAGCUCGAUCUUUUGAUCCACGUGUUAGCUUACUUUUGGGUUGUUUUGACUGAUUGUUUAAGUUGUGUCUAAUGUUGUUUGGGCCAUAGAUGUUGGUAUUUGAGGAAUCAAUGGAGUUUUUAGGGGUCUUAUCCCAGUACACAUAUUAUUGUGUUUUUCUAUUUUGUAUUUGCAGCCAUGAACGCAGUAUGUGAUUGUGAAAGGCAAGCUCAACUUAAAACGUCAUGGACCGAUGCAAACCCGUUUUUCUCAUGUCCAAAUUAUAGAAAAGUAAGUGUGUUAGGGUUCAAAUUUAAUGUUAUAUAUAUAUUACAUUCUAUUUACUUGAACAUAUCUCUUAAAUGCAAUUUUUUUGCAGAGGAAUGCUUGUUAAUUUUUUGCUUGGUAUGAUCCUCCAAUGCCGGAUUACUUCGAAAGAUUAACGGAAUGGAGCAAGAGAUGGAGAUACCUUAUUCAUGCUAGUUGUUUAAGCAAGAGAUCAAGACAAAUGAUUAAACUUCGAGUAUAGUUUGUUGUAACCUUAUCUAUGCUAGUUGUUUGUAAUCUCCAGAAUUUGAUUUGUAAAAUUCUAGUAUAGUUUGUAAUAUCCAGAAUUUGAUUUGUAAACUUCUAGUAUAGUUUGUAAUCUCCAGUGUCCUUGUUAUAUACAUGUACCCACACUGUUUUGAUUAUUCAAGCAUUGUUUUAACAUAUCAUCAAAUUUGGCAUACUUAUUUUCUGUUUUAGAAAUGGGUUUUACUGAGAAU
rnacentral:lncRNA from 1 species